rnacentral:rRNA from 1 species
ACGGGAGGCAGCAGUGGGGAAUAUUGCACAAUGGGCGCAAGCCUGAUGCAGCGAUGCCGCGUGAGGGAAGAAGGUUUUCGGAUUGUAAACCUCUGUCAACAGGGACGAAAAUGACGGUACCUGUGAAGGAAGCUCCGGCUAACUACGUGCCAGCAGCCGCGGUAAUACGUAGGGGGCAAGCGUUAUCCGGAUUUACUGGGUGUAAAGGGUGCGUAGGCGGCACGGCAAGUCAGAAGUGAAAUCCCAGGGCUCAACCCUGGAACUGCUUUUGAAACUGUCGAGCUAGAGUACAGGAGAGGUAAGCGGAAUUCCUAGUGUAGCGGUGAAAUGCGUAGAUAUUAGGAGGAACACCAGUGGCGAAGGCGGCUUACUGGACUGACACUGACGCUGAGGCACGAAAGCGUGGGGAGCAAACAGGAUUAGAUACCCUGGUA